rnacentral:misc_RNA from 1 species
GUGAAGAUGAAACUAGUUGCCAGAUACUGUCGAGUUGAUAAACGAGCCUUCGUUUAGGGUUUUGCUGGCUUUGCAGCUUUGAACCUUGAUUUUAGUCGGCUUUGUUUGACAGGUUAUAGUUAGAGUUUAUCAUGUGUGUACCAUGGGCCUUAUAAGGUUAGAUUCUAAGCCUCUGUAUUUAGGCUGUAACUCUUUUAAUGCAA